CCCUGAGUGGUACAGAUGGUUAGUGUGCUUGGCUGCUAACCGAAAGUUUGGUGGUUCAAAUCUACCCAGAGGUA
rnacentral:tRNA from 1 species